GGAAAAACAAAAAAACAAAAAGGGGUGGGGGGUGGGGUUGGGGUUUGAACUAUCAUGCUGUCACUGCAAUGUGGUGGUUUGCGGUGUCUCCUAGUGAGAAGCAAUGGUCUAAUCUCAAGAGAUUGGAAAAUUGCUCAAAGUAAAUUGGUUUUCUUGAGACCCUUCUUUGUGGUGAUGAGGCAGAGAAAUGCUCCCCUUCUCUUCUCUGUGUUUCUAUUUGGUCUUUUGAGGAUCUCAAUUAAGUACAGUCUAUGUAUCAGGGUUGCGCCUUUACACCAUUUUAGCACCCUAAAUAUUUUUAUUAUCUACAAAUGAGAUGAUCAAAGAUUCCUUAGUGAAGUUCCUCUGCUUCCAUUACAUUUACAGAUUAUUGGCCGUCACAAGCUCAUGUUUGUGGGUUUUGGUUCCUCCCUAUUGAAUGGCAGUUUGCAUGUAAGAAAUGUGGACAAAUUUCAGCAA
rnacentral:misc_RNA from 1 species